UUUAGUGGCGAACGGGUGAGUAACACGUAAGAACUCACCCCUAGACGAGGUACAACAGUUGGAAACGACUGCUAAUACCUCAUAUUACCGGAAGGUGAAAGAAGCAAUUCGUCUAGGGCGAGGCUUGCGUCUGAUUAGCUUGUUGGUGAGGUAAAGGCUUACCAAGGCGACGAUCAGUAGUUGGUCUUAGAGGAUGAUCAGCCACAUUGGACUGAGACACGGCCCAAACUUUUACGGGAGGCAGCAGUAAGGAAUUUUCCGCAGUGGGCGCAAGCCUGACGGAGCAAUACCGCGUGAAGGAUGACGGCCCAUGGGUUGUAAACUUCUUUUCUUGGAAAAGAAUUCUGACGGUAUCCAAGGAAUAAGCAUCGGCUAACUCCGUGCCAGCAGCCGCGGUAAGACGGGGGAUGCAAGCGUUAUUCGGAAUUAUUGGGCGUAAAGCGUCUGUAGGUGGUAAGGAAAGUGUAAUGUUAAAGAUCAGGGCUCAACCCUGGGAAAGCAUUGCAAACUAUCUUACUUGAGUUCGGUAGGGGCAGAGAGAAUUCCCAGUGUAGCGGUGAAAUGCGUAUAUAUUGGGAGGAAGACCGGUGGCGAAGGCGUUCUGCUGGGCCGUAACUGACACUCAGAGACGAAAGCUAAGGUAGCAAAUAGGAUUAGAUACCCUAGUAGUCUUAGCUGUAAACGAUGCACACUAUGUUUUGCAAUUUGCAGAGCAAUAGCUAACGCGUUAAGUGUGCCGCCUGGGGAGUACAUUCGCAAGGAUGAAACUCAAAGGAAUUGACGGGGGACCCGCACAAGCGGUGGAGCAUGUGGUUUUAUUUCGAUGCAACGCGAAGAACCUUACCAAGAAUUGACAUGCUGCGAACGUUUACGAAAGUAAAAAGUCU
rnacentral:rRNA from 1 species